rnacentral:rRNA from 1 species
AGAUUGAACGCUGGCGGCAGGCCUAACACAUGCAAGUCGAGCGGUAGAGAGGUGCUUGCACCUCUUGAGAGCGGCGGACGGGUGAGUAAUGCCUAGGAAUCUGCCUAGUGGUGGGGGAUAACGUUCGGAAACGGACGCUAAUACCGCAUACGUCCUACGGGAGAAAGCGGGGGACCUUCGGGCCUCGCGCCAUUAGAUGAGCCUAGGUCGGAUUAGCUAGGUUGGUGAGGUAAUGGCUCACCAAGGCGACGAUCCGU